rnacentral:sRNA from 1 species
CUUGGUCAUUUAGAGGAAGUAAAAGUCGUAACAAGGUUUCCGUAGGUGAACCUGCGGAAGGAUCAUUACCUAGAGUUUGUAGACUUCGGUCUGCUACCUCUUACCCAUGUCUUUUGAGUACCUUCGUUUCCUCGGCGGGUCCGCCCGCCGAUUGGACAACAUUCAAACCCUUUGCAGUUGCAAUCAGCGUCUGAAAAAACAUAAUAGUUACAACUUUCAACAACGGAUCUCUUGGUUCUGGCAUCGAUGAAGAACGCAGCGAAAUGCGAUAAGUAGUGUGAAUUGCAGAAUUCAGUGAAUCAUCGAAUCUUUGAACGCACAUUGCGCCCCUUGGUAUUCCAUGGGGCAUGCCUGUUCGAGCGUCAUUUGUACCUUCAAGCUCUGCUUGGUGUUGGGUGUUUGUCUCGCCUCUGCGUGUAGACUCGCCUUAAAACAAUUGGCAGCCGGCGUAUUGAUUUCGGAGCGCAGUACAUCUCGCGCUUUGCACUCAUAACGACGACGUCCAAAAGUACAUUUUUACACUCUUGACCUCGGAUCAGGUAGGGAUACCCGCUGAACUUAAGCAUAUCAAUAAGCGGAGGAAAAGAAACCAACAGGGAUUGCCCUAGUAACGGCGAGUGAAGCGGCAACAGCUCAAAUUUGAAAUCUGGCGUCUUUGGCGUCCGAGUUGUAAUUUGCAGAGGGCGCUUUGGCUUUGGCAGCGGUCCAAGUUCCUUGGAACAGGACGUCACAGAGGGUGAGAAUCCCGUACGUGGUCGCUGGCUAUUGCCGUGUAAAGCCCCUUCGACGAGUCGAGUUGUUUGGGAAU